GUGAUAUAUGAGUGUACGCAACAUCUGUGUUAAUAAAACUAUUAAGCAGAUUCUGAAAAUACUAUUCUUGGAACUUUACAUCCAUCUAAUGAAACCAAUGCCACAUAGAUUGUAUUGGUUUGUGCAGACAUUUUAACUCCUCGUGCCGAAUCUCUUCCAAAGGUGUGGAGAGUUUCCGUGUCUCAAGGCAGGCGGACACCCAAUCCCUCAUGGAGUCUCUGUGGUCUGUGUAUGACCAGGCCAUGGAACAUACCGGCAAGGCAGUUGGAGAAGAGAACCUUGCUGCAUCUUUCAAAAUGGCCACUGAUACGGCAGUCAGUAUGAGAACUGCAGCAAGAGGGCUCCUAGAUACCUUCUUCAAUAGACUGUAAAGGUACCUCAGGACAUAUAGUAAGUCUGCUCUUUGUUUGAGUAGAGUAGGUCGGUAUUUGCCUGGAUGUAGCCAAAAGACUAAUGCAGCCAAGUCUUUCUCUAUAGAUCAGAUGGUAUAUAGGAUGUUUUUCCAGACAAAUGAAUGGCUGUUAUGAAGAAUAACAAAUAAAGGUGAAAAACAUCACUGGCGAAUUUACCUGUAGUCUAAUUAUAUUAUAUAUGAAAGCCAUGCUUAAAUUAAGAGGGUUUAUGCCUCAUCCAUUUCUCAGUCCAUUUAUUAGUUCUCAGAAACCUUCUACCACUCUUUGUAGUUAGGGUCCUAUUCUCUCCAUUCCAAGGCCAACAAUUGAUCACGUCUGAAUGGGAGUGGCCAUCCUCCUCCCCCAGUAACAACAUGGUUUAGUCGCCAGGGCAACGUGUCCUUCAGAUCACAGAAUCAAUCUGAAGAGAAUCUUUGCACAGAACAAAGGUGGGACGAUCAUGUGUCGUGUACUCAUGCUUGUUUUCCCUGUACUUCAUUUAUAACCCCAUAAACGUAUGCAAUUCAUAUGUGAAUCAUUUUUUGUGUAGCAUUUCCAUGUGUGUAGUCACACAAGAAAACAUCAGUAAACCGUUCAACUGUGUUUUAAAACUGUGAGUCGUAAAUGCAGAAAUUCGGCUCUUUACAGGGAUGUCAGGGCCAAGCCCAUUAGCAGUCACCAUGGUAAUGUUAUCAAAAUCAGUAUGAAGUUUGUAAAGAUUUUUAAACAUUCAUGUGCAUUUACAUUAAGUUACCCGUGAAAUUAUGCAGUCACUUUGAAUUUUUGGAUACGGGCCACCUACAAGACAAAUGACAAUAUGAUUGUGGGGACCAUUAGAGUCCGCAUUACAUUUUCAAAGGAUACAACAUCACUUCCUGUAUAGUUCCAGUGCCAUAUGACGGUCAGAUGUCGGUCAGAAAAUUCAUGACAUAUAUAAAGAAUACAUAUGGGGGAUGUAUGAUUUUUGCUUUUUACAGAUUUCUCUUGGGGUCAAAUGAAUGUGGCUGUUUUCGGACAUGCUCGGGACAGUGUCUUAAGUCCAUCUACCAAUUUUUAUGUUAAGCAGAGUUGCUGAGAUACGACCUGACUUCUUGAUAUUAUGGCUGUAGAUUUCAGUUGGCAACACAUUGCCACAAACAUAUAUCUCAUUAUCAACAUGAUUCUUAGUCUGGAGAUCAUCUUUGCUAAACCUACUGAAGACUUGAAAAAAUGUAUGAGUUGGUUAUGAUGGAAAUUGAUGUCAUUGGAUACUUUGAAAUCGACUUGACCUAAGAAAUGUUAUGGUACCGGUUCCAACAUUACAUGUGUGUACGCACCUCUAAAUAUAACUGUAUGACCUAUUGUUACAGCUAGAACGAUUACAGGUGGAAGUCAAACUUGAAAAGAUUUAAAGGACUGUACCCAACAAAACGUUUUACCAUACAGUUCUAGGGGAUGCCAUAGACAGGCAGUGGAGAGUUGUUCUCCUUUAAGCAAACAGCCUCUGUAUGUCCAUGUGCUCUGUUGAUAUUGAUUUGAUUGCUGACCUGUAGACCAGUUGCUGCCCUGCCUAUGACAUGACUGCACUUUACUCUCUGGGCCUGUCUCUGUCCUACCGGCUGCACUGCAUAAAGCUGACCUCCUCCACACAGUGCUGUUGCAGAUCCUGCAAACUCAACUCAGAUACUCACCAAAGCUCCAAGGGGUCUCACCAUGACCAAGCUACUAUUCAUCUCAGCCUUCCUGGCAGUACUUGUCAUCAGUGUGGUGGGUUUUCGUGUUCCAAGGGGUGCUGAGUGGGUACCCCACGUGAAAUCAAUACAUGACCAGUCCAUGGACCUGGCUGGCCAGAUAGUUGGAAAAGAGAACCUUGAAGCUGCUCUAGAUACAACAACAGAAACAACUUUUAGUCUGGUAGGUGCAACAGCUAAGCUUGCAGAGGACAUUUUCAAAGCUCUCUUUAAAAACUAAUUGCUUCACUGUCUGUGACCUCCCCAUCUGCGUGGAAUGAACACAUUGCUCAUCAGUCUUUUACGAAGUCCAACCAUUGUGUGGAGGCUAAACUGACCAAGAACAAAAGGAGUUUUUUCUCUCUUUACUUGUGUACUAAAAAUGAUCUGAUGGACAGCAUGGCGUGGCCAUUUUUCCUUGACUCUUGAAAUGUACCAUCCCACAUUCAAUCCCACAAGACAUUUUAAAUGCUGUAUCAAAAGUGAUCCUACAGUAAUAAACAUCUUUCUUGAUUGGUGAAAGUUCACGCCUCCUCCAUGUUUUCUAUCUGCUAUUUUGGAACCAGUUCCCACUUCACCACCUCUCCUGUGAGGAUGCAAAACUGCAAAGCUUGUUUGUUUUCCACACAGACUUAAUAAAACCUGAUUCUGAAUGCGA